AGGGCAUAUCGAUGAAGCUCCUUGUGCUUGCUUCUUACGCCCAGUUUGGGGUGGGUGCUGGGAGAUAGGUCUGAGGGCGUACCGUAACGGCAUACGGCGGCGACCCUCUUACCGUGGAGGCCCUUGCCUGUGGUAUUGACGUACCAGCGAAGAUAUAUUACGGGCAGGGGAUUAAACCUAUCGCGCGGUACGUAUUGUUGCUGUGGAUAGUGUAGCCUGCCUUGAGUGGUGCCGGCGAAUGCGGGAUCCAAGCGGCGUUGACCUUGGCCGGGUCGCGCCGCUAUUGCUCGCUGAAACCGUCGCUGCAAAAGAGGCUAAAUCGAUCUACCUCUUGAUCGGGGAAAUCCCCUAGGCUGUUUAUGAAAAUAAGGCAGACUGCGGAUUGCAGUGCGGCCAUCCUACGGAAAGGCAAUCGAGUCCCCGCUUCGGCGACGGGCGGGCUUCUUCCUUAAUGGGAAACCGCCGAUCGGUAACGAGAGGCGGAAGAUGCUGAAAUAGUACUCGACCUCAUACCGCAAGGUUUACGCAGUCUGUUACCGUCUUAUUAUUUU
rnacentral:sRNA from 1 species